AGCGUUGUUCGGAAUUACUGGGCGUAAAGCGCACGUAGGCGGGUUUGUAAGUAGGGGGUGAAAUCCCAGGGCUCAACCCUGGAACUGCCUUUAAUACUGCUGACCUAGAGUUCGGGAGAGGUGAGUGGAAUUCCGAGUGUAG
rnacentral:rRNA from 1 species